AUGAUUAGAGCUCAAGUGUUUGAGGAACAUUUGCAAAGUGAAACUGACGAUCCUUUCUUAAAUAAUCUGCGAAUAGUUGAUGUUCGUCAUGGGAAGGUACUAUUGUUGUGCACACAAGGUAGGAUUCUAGCUAUCUGGGAUCCUAUGAAUGGAGAAACAACAUUGACACAAGAACCAGAGAAUGAAAUGAAUAGCCAGGCUAGUAUAUUGUGUGCUGCCAACAUGAUCACAAUGGUGGAUGCAAUAAUUGUCCUAUCAAAAUCAUUUGGAUUAGCGCAGGAAGAAAUCCAACCAAGGUGUACACCUUUUCUUAUGCUACUGCUGAGUGGCAAUGUGCUGUGUGUGUUCAUCCUUAUUUGUCAUAUGUAG
rnacentral:rRNA from 1 species